rnacentral:rRNA from 1 species
CCUACGGGAGGCAGCAGUGGGGAAUUUUGGACAAUGGGGGCAACCCUGAUCCAGCCAUGCCGCGUGCGGGAAGAAGGCCCUCGGGUUGUAAACCGCUUUCAGAUGGAAUGAAAUGAUGUAGGUUAAUAACCUGCAUUGAUGACGGUACCAUCAGAAGAAGCACCGGCUAACUACGUGCCAGCAGCCGCGGUAAUACGUAGGGUGCGAGCGUUAAUCGGAAUUACUGGGCGUAAAGCGCGCGUAGGCGGUUUUUUAAGUCGGAUGUGAAAGCCCCGGGCUCAACCUGGGAACUGCAUCCGAUACUGGAAGACUAGAAUGCGGGAGAGGGAGGUAGAAUUCCAUGUGUAGCAGUGAAAUGCGUAGAUAUAUGGAGGAAUACCAGUGGCGAAGGCGGCCUCCUGGCUCGACAUUGACGCUGAGGUGCGAAAGCGUGGGGAGCAAACGGGAUUAGAUACCCCGGUAGUCCACGCCGUAAACGAUGUCUACUAGCUGUAGGGGUACUUGAGACCUUUGUAGCGCAGCUAACGCAAUAAGUAGACCGCCUGGGGAGUACGGCCGCAAGGUUAAAACUCAAAUGAAUGACGG